rnacentral:rRNA from 1 species
GACGAACGCUGGCGGCGUGCUUAACACAUGCAAGUCGAACGGAAAGGCCCUGCUUUUGUGGGGUGCUCGAGUGGCGAACGGGUGAGUAACACGUGAGUAACCUGCCCUUGACUUUGGGAUAACUUCAGGAAACUGGGGCUAAUACCGGAUAGGAGCUCCUGCUGCAUGGUAGGGGUUGGAAAGUUUCGGCGGUUGGGGAUGGACUCGCGGCUUAUCAGCUUGUUGGUGGGGUAGUGGCUUACCAAGGCUUUGACGGGUAGCCGGCCUGAGAGGGUGACCGGCCACAUUGGGACUGAGAUACGGCCCAGACUCCUACGGGAGGCAGCAGUGGGGAAUAUUGCACAAUGGGCGGAAGCCUGAUGCAGCAACGCCGCGGGCGGGAUGACGGCCUUCGGGUUGUAAACCGCUUUCGCCUGUGACGAAGCGUGAGUGACGGUAAUGGGUAAAGAAGCACCGGCUAACUAC